ACCAGGCGCCGUGGCGCGGGCCUGUAGUCCCAGCUACUCGGGAGGCUGAGGCUGGAGGAUCGCUUGAGUCCAGGAGUUCUGGGCUGUAGUGUGCUAUGCUGAUCAGUCCGCACUAAGUUCAGCAUCAAUAUGGUGACCCCCUGGGAGCAGGGGACCAGGUUGCCUAAGGAAAAGUGAACCAGCCAAGGUCGGAAACGGAGCAGGUGGAAACUCCCCUGCUGGUCAGUAGUGGGAUCUCGCCACUGCGCUGUGAAUAGCUACUGCACUCCAGCCUGGGCAACAUGGCGAGACCCCGUUUUUU
ensembl:misc_RNA Metazoa_SRP Metazoan signal recognition particle RNA